CUGGGGGCGCCCCAUUUCCUUUGGAUGUGAAGGAAUUAUCUUCAUGGUCCUUGAUCUUCUCUACUUCAUUAAUGUUUUUUGCCACUUGCAAAGUCCUUGCUCUUGCACCGAUGGAUAAAAAGCAAAGCAGGAAAAAGGCUACAAGAAGAAUAUUCUUGCAUGGAACCUUUGCCAUAUCUCAAGCCUUCUGGGUUUGUGAUCUGAGUGGUAG
rnacentral:misc_RNA from 1 species